GAUGAAGAACGCAGCGAAAUGCGAUAAGUAGUGUGAAUUGCAGAAUUCAGUGAAUCAUCGAAUCUUUGAACGCACAUUGCGCCCCUUGGUAUUCCAUGGGGCAUGCCUGUUCGAGCGUCAUUUGUACCUUCAAGCUUUGCUUGGUGUUGGGUGUUUGUCCUGAGGGACUCGCCUUAAAGUAAUUGGCAGCCAGUGUUUUGGUUUUGAAGCGCAGCACAAGUCGCGAUUCAAGGCUAUACGCUAGCUUCCACAAGCCUUUUUUCACUUUUGACCUCGGAUCAGGUAGGGAUACCCGCUGAACUUAAGCAUAUCAAUAAGCGGAGGA
rnacentral:misc_RNA from 1 species